rnacentral:rRNA from 1 species
GACGAACGCUGGCGGCGUGCCUAAUACAUGCAAGUAGAACGCUGAAGAGAGGAGCUUGCUCUUCUUGGAUGAGUUGCGAACGGGUGAGUAACGCGUAGGUAACCUGCCUUGUAGCGGGGGAUAACUAUUGGAAACGAUAGCUAAUACCGCAUAACAAUGGAUGACACAUGUCAUUUAUUUGAAAGGGGCAAUUGCUCCACUACAAGAUGGACCUGCGUUGUAUUAGCUAGUAGGUGAGGUAACGGCUCACCUAGGCGACGAUACAUAGCCGACCUGAGAGGGUGAUCGGCCACACUGGGACUGAGACACGGCCCAGACUCCUACGGGAGGCAGCAGUAGGGAAUCUUCGGCAAUGGGGGCAACCCUGACCGAGCAACGCCGCGUGAGUGAAGAAGGUUUUCGGAUCGUAAAGCUCUGUUGUAAGUCAAGAACGAGUGUGAGAGUGGAAAGUUCACACUGUGACGGUAGCUUACCAGAAAGGG